ACUCUUGAAGUCUUAGUGGCGCAGCUAACGCACUAAGUUGACCGCCUGGGGAGUACGGCCGCAAGGUUAAAACUCAAAUGAAUUGACGGGGGCCCGCACAAGCGGUGGAGCAUGUGGUUUAAUUCGACGCAACGCGAAGAACCUUACCUGGCCUUGACAUGCAGAGAACUUUCCAGAGAUGGAUUGGUGCCUUCGGGAACUCUGACACAGGUGCUGCAUGGCCGUCGUCAGCUCGUGUCGUGAGAUGUUGGGUUAAGUCCUGUAACGAGCGCAACCCCUAUCCCUAGUUGCUAGCAGUUCGGCUGAGAACUCUAGGGAGACUGCCGGUGACAAACCGGAGGAAGGUGGGGAUGACGUCAGGUCAUCAUGGCCCUUACGGCCAGGGCUACACACGUGCUACAAUGGUGCGUACAGAGGGCUGCAAACCCGCGAGGGGGAGCUAAUCUCACAAAACGCAUCGUAGUCCGGAUCGGAGUCUGCAACUCGACUCCGUGAAGUCGGAAUCGCUAGUAAUCGCGAAUCAGAAUGUCGCGGUGAAUACGUUCCCGGGCCUUGUACACACCGCCCGUCACACCAUGGGAGUGGAUUGCACCAGAAGUGGUUAGUCUAACCUUCGGGAGGA
rnacentral:rRNA from 1 species